AAACUCAGGAAUCUAAGGUUAAGCUAUGGUCCAUUCUUUACCAAACAUCCUGUAUAUCUACCCUUUAAUUUAAUGCACUACGUACAAUUAAUGUUUUAGAUAUGCUAGAUAUACUACUGCCAAAUAACGUUCAACAAAGUAAAUCUACUGUUCCUUGCUUAGAAUGUAAUAAAAAGUUUUCAAAUCUGGGCAAUCUUAGACUUCAUGUGAAAAGGCAGCAUCCAGAUAAAUUGACGAAAUAGCACCUGUUAACAAGAAAACUUAUGUGUGUUCCAGCUGCUCUGAAAGUUUUCACAAUUUAAAAAAACUAGUUUCUCAUAAACAAACUCAUAAUAAUGCCUUAACAAAA
rnacentral:lncRNA from 1 species